CUUCAACUGUAUGUAAUGUAUGUCAUUCACUCGUUAAGGUCUGAAGAAGACAGGUUGAAAGAUUGAAAACGGCGGCAAAAACAAAGCACACUACAGGUAGGUGGAGUCAUAUGAUGAGUGGUAUAGUCUGAAACCAAUGUUUAAAGACCAAUAUGUUUUAGGAUGAUGUAGAUGACUCCCCCCUCCCCCCAAGAAGUCACAGCAGGUCACAUCAGCAUCCAGCUUUGCAAGAGCAGACCAUACUAAAAAUGAAAUGCACGGCGAACUGGGAGCUGUGAACUGGGAUGCAGAUUUUCUCCUAAGGGACACCCUAGUGGCAGCAAGGUGGUGUGAACGCCAAACAUUUAAAGGCACUGUUUCCCUCCCUAGUGCAAUUGGGAUGGACGGGGAAGACCGCAUUUACAACCCUUAAAUAACUACGGUUGUAUGAUGGCCUGGAUGAAUAGGAAAAUAUUCUCCUCAAGGAACUGACCGUCUUUGCCUCUUUUGAGGAGCAGGAGUGAAGCUAUUUUUGAGGAGUGGUCAAACCUUGUUUUUGUCUGC
ensembl:lncRNA